ACUCCUACGGGAGGCAGCAGUGGGGAAUAUUGGACAAUGGGCGCAAGCCUGAUCCAGCCAUGCCGCGUGAGUGAUGAAGGCCCUAGGGUUGUAAAGCUCUUUCACCGGUGAAGAUAAUGACGGUAACCGGAGAAGAAGCCCCGGCUAACUUCGUGCCAGCAGCCGCGGUAAUACGAAGGGGGCUAGCGUUGUUCGGAUUUACUGGGCGUAAAGCGCACGUAGGCGGACUAUUAAGUCAGGGGUGAAAUCCCGGGGCUCAACCCCGGAACUGCCUUUGAUACUGGUAGUCUUGAGUUCGAGAGAGGUGAGUGGAAUUCCGAGUGUAGAGGUGAAAUUCGGAGAUAUUCGGAGGAACACCAGUGGCGAAGGCGGCUCACUGGCUCGAUACUGACGCUGAGGUGCGAAAGCGUGGGGAGCAAACAGGAUUAGAAACCCUAGUAGUCCCAUG
rnacentral:rRNA from 1 species